GACCAGGAGACAGGCGCCUUUCCCGAGGCCUCGACUGACGCAGAAUCCGGACCAGGUAAUGGAUGUCAUGGAUGCAUUUGUAUCAGAAAAUCUCCACCUAACAUCUUGUGAUGUAGAUCUGCAUCCUUUUCAUCAUGGAAGACAUCAUUCUGUGAGAACAGGAACAGAAAGCAAAGAGAAUGAAGUGGGACAGGAGACAGACUCCCUGAGGUGCUCUGAAGACUCCAGAGCAUGUAAGAGCGUCGGAUGAAUCCAAGCUCAAGUGCAUUAAUAAAUACUGCUUCCCUCAAACUUGCAACACUGGUGCCAUCAUUAUUCCCAUAUCGCAGACAAAGAAGUUACUUGACUGUUGAAACCCACCUAGUCAGGGGCAGAGCUGGGGCCCGGGCCCAGCCAUUCUAAGGCCUCCUGCUGUCCCGGCUGUCUCCCUUUUGGC